UAGCUCAGUUGGUAAAGAAUCUGCCUGCAAUGCAGGAGACCCGGGUUCAAUCCCUGG
rnacentral:tRNA from 1 species